GAUGAACGCUAGCGGCAGGCCUAAUACAUGCAAGUCGAACGGUGUCUUCGGACAUAGUGGCGCACGGGUGCGUAACACGUAUGCAACCUACCUUACAUUGGGGGAUAGCCUUUCGAAAGGGAGAUUAAUACCGCAUAAGACAGUAGCUGGGCAUCCAGCAGCUGUUAAAGAUUUAUCGAUGUAAGCUGGGCAUGCGUCCAAUUAGCUAGUUGGUGAGGUAACGGCUCACCAAGGCAAUGAUUGGUAGGGGAACUGAGAGGUCAAUCCCCCACACUGGGACUGGGAUACGGGCCAGACUCCUACGGGAGGCAGCAGGAGGGAAUAUUGGGCAAUGGACGCAAGUCUGACCCAGCCAUGCCGCGUGCAGGAUGAAGGCGUUAUGCGUUGUAAACUGCUUUUAUACAGGAAGAAACGACUCUUGCGAGAGGCAUUGACGGUACUGUAUGAAUAAGCACCGGCUAACUCCGUGCCAGCCGCCGCCGUAAGAC
rnacentral:rRNA from 1 species